UGAGCAAUCUGCCCUUGACUCUGGAAUAACAGCUGGAAACAGCUGCUAAUACCGGAUACGACCUCCGAUGGCAUCAUCUGGAGGUGGAAAGCUCCGGCGGAGAAGGAUGAGCUCGCGGCCUAUCAGCUAGUUGGUGUGGUAUGCCACCGAA
rnacentral:rRNA from 1 species